rnacentral:sRNA from 1 species
UAUUCUGCCCUACAGGGAAGGAUGAGAAGCUUCGACUAAGGUUCGACUCGAGCGAAGCGAGAGAACGUUGCCGCAGGCAACGGCCCGAAGGGCGAGGCGCAUUAGCGCCGAGUAAUCCUUCCCCCACCACUG